CGGGGACUGGCUUAAUGGUAGAGCGCUCGGUUCGGGAUCGAGAGACUCCGGGUUCGAUUCCCGGGUCCCCGA
rnacentral:tRNA from 1 species